CUUGGUCAUUUAGAGGAAGUAAAAGUCGUAACAAGGUUUCCGUAGGUGAACCUGCGGAAGGAUCAUUGGUGAAUUUAGGAGGUUUGCUGUGCCGUCUUCACGGAAUUGUGCACGCUUACCUCUAUAAUCCUUAUCAACACCUGUGCACCUUUCUAGGGAGAACGAUAGGUUUCACGACCUAUCAUGACCUCUAUAUACACACUCUUUAUGUCAAUGAAUGUUACUUGGCCGAAAGGCUAGAAUUAUAAACAACUUUUAACAACGGAUCUCUUGGCUCUCGCAUCGAUGAAGAGCGCAGCGAAAUGCGAUAAGUAAUGUGAAUUGCAGAAUUCAGUGAAUCGUCGAAUCUUUGAACGCACCUUGCGCUCCCUGGUAUUCCGGGGAGCACGCCUGUUCGAGUGUUAUGAAACUAUCAAGAAAAAUUGGCUUUAUUGUUGAUUUUGACUGGAUUUGAACUUUGACGUUGAUCUAGGUAGAGGGUUACUCCUCUGCUCUGUAAUACGACUAGUUUUAAAAGUAUAAGCAGGCUCUGGUUUUUUAAUUACCAUGGUUCUACUCAGCGUGAUAAUUAUCUAUCGUUGAGGACACUUUUAUUAGUGGCCAUGGUCCCAAGAGUUGCUCUCUAAUCUCUGUGAUCAGUUGCAAAACUGAUUUCAUUCAUAUCUGACCUCGAAUCAGGUGGGACUACCCGCUGAACUUAAGCAUAUCAAUAAGCGGAGGA
rnacentral:rRNA from 1 species